GGGGGGGCUAGGAUGAAAAAUUUUGUCCUGCAUUUUUUUUAGUUGUAAUCCCUGUCCUGCCUUUUUAUUUUUCACUCUAUUCAGUCCUGCCUUUUUUCUUUUAGUUUAUCCUGACUUUUUUUACCUAUAAAUUGUCAUCCUGACUUUUUUUUUUGCAAGUGUCUCAUCCUGCCUUUUUUUUUUACUCAAAACUCCUGUCCUGCCUAUUUUUUCAAAUUUCAUCCUAGCCCCCCCCCCC
rnacentral:lncRNA from 1 species